CCUACGGGGGGCUGCAGUGGGGAAUAUUGGACAAUGAGGGGAACCCUGAUCCAGCCAUGCCGCGUGUGUGAAGAAGGCCCUCGGGUUGUAAAGCACUUUCAGUGAGGAAGAACGCCUGGUGGUUAAUACCCAUCAGGAAAGACAUCACUCACAGAAGAAGCACCGGCUAACUCCGUGCCAGCAGCCGCGGUAAUACGGAGGGUGCGAGCGUUAAUCGGAAUUACUGGGCGUAAAGCGCGCGUAGGUGGCUUGAUAAGCCGGUUGUGAAAGCCCCGGGCUCAACCUGGGAACGGCAUCCGGAACUGUCAAGCUAGAGUGCAGGAGAGGAAGGUAGAAUUCCCGGUGUAGCGGUGAAAUGCGUAGAGAUCGGGAGGAAUACCAGUGGCGAAGGCGGCCUUCUGGACUGACACUGACACUGAGGUGCGAAAGCGUGGGUAGCAAACAGGAUUAGAUACCCCGGUAGUC
rnacentral:rRNA from 1 species